rnacentral:SRP_RNA from 1 species
GGGGGCCCCAGCAAUGGGGGCCUGUGAACCUGGUCAGGUGAGAGAUCAAGCAGCCAUAAGCGGUAACUCUCAUGUGCCGGGGCU